UACGUAGGGUGCGAGCGUUGUCCGGAAUUACUGGGCGUAAAGAGCUCGUAGGUGGUUUGUCGCGUUGUUCGUGAAAACUCACAGCUUAACUGUGGGCGUGCGGGCGAUACGGGCAGACUGGAGUACUGCAGGGGAGACUGGAAUUCCUGGUGUAGCGGUGGAAUGCGCAGAUAUCAGGAGGAACACCGGUGGCGAAGGCGGGUCUCGUGGGCAGUGAACUGACGCUGAGGAGCGAAAGCGUGGGGAGCAAACGGG
rnacentral:rRNA from 1 species